rnacentral:tRNA from 1 species
GCGAACGUGGCGGAAUUGGUAGACGCGCUGGAUUCAGGUUCCAGUGGGUAACACUGUGGGGGUUCGAGUCCCCCCGUUCGCACCA